UCGCCAGCGUACUCUCUGCACUGUUAAUUCUGUUGGCAGUUGGGGGGUCAGUCGCCUGUGCUCACAAGAAACAGGAAAACAACAGACCAAAAGAAGAAGAAGAUGAACAGGAAUUAACCUAUGCUGAUGUCAGGGUUGUGCAGCUGCCUGGGAGACAGCAAAGGGAAGAGGUGGAGGUGGAGUACGGCCAAGUCAAGAUUUCACAGUGACCUCGGCAGGCCAUUGAACCAACAGGAGAUGAAUGUGUGUAUGCCAAAGUCCGCAGAGGCAGCUGAUUCAGUGUUCACUGCACCGCUGAAGGCAGGUGGAGGAGGUGUGCCAAGAUGCCUGAAGGUCUUUCACCUUAUUUUAAUGUGAUUUCCAAUAGGAAAAUAAAAAGCCAUCAGUGCUCA